UACGUAGGUGACAAGCGUUAUCCGGAUUUACUGGGCGUAAAGCGCACGCAGGCGGUCUGCUAAGUUUGGAGUGACAGUUGGUGGCUUAACUGCCAAAGUGCUUCGAAAACUGACAGACUUGAGGGCUUCAGAGGGACACGGAAUUCCGGGUGGAGUGGUGAAAUGCGUAGAGAUCCGGAGGAACACCAAAGGCGAAGGCAGUGUCCUGGGGAGUACCUGACGCUCAGGUGCGAAAGCCAGGGGAGCGAACGGG
rnacentral:rRNA from 1 species